rnacentral:rRNA from 1 species
GUGAACGCUGGCGGUAGGCCUAACACAUGCAAGUCGAACGGCAGCACAGUAAGAGCUUGCUCUUACGGGUGGCGAGUGGCGGACGGGUGAGGAAUACAUCGGAAUCUACUUUUUCGUGGGGGGUAACGUAGGGAAACUUACGCUAAUACCGCAUACGACCUACGGGUGAAAGCAGGGGAUCUUCGGACCUUGCGCGAUUGAAUGAGCCGAUGUCGGAUUAGCCAGUUGGCGGGGUAAAGGCCCACCAAGGCGACGAUCCGUAGCUGGUCUGAGAGGAUGAUCAGCCACACUGGAACUGAGACACGGUCCAGACUCCUACGGGAGGCAGCAGUGGGGAAUAUUGGACAAUGGGCGCAAGCCUGAUCCAGCCAUACCGCGUGGGUGAAGAAGGCCUUCGGGUUGUAAAGCCCUUUUGUUGGGAAAGAAAAGCAGCAGGUUAAUACCCCGCUGUUCUGACGGUACCCAAAGAAUAAGCACCGGCUAACUUCGUG